rnacentral:rRNA from 1 species
GUGAAGCGGCAAAUGCUCAAAUUUGAAAUCGAUAUCCCUUUAGGAAAUCCGAGUUGUAAUUUGUAGAGGAAACUUUGGAAGGUUAUCAUAGUCUAAGUGCCUUGGAACAGGACAUCAUAGAGGGUGAGAAUCCCGUAUGUGGCUUUUGAUACUGACCAUGUAAAGUUCCUUCAACGAGUCGAGUUGUUUGGGAAUGCAGCUCAAAAUGGGAGGUAAAUUUCUUCUAAAGCUAAGUAUUGGCCAGAGACCGAUAGCGAACAAGUAGAGUGAUCGAAAGAUGAAAAGCACUUUGGAAAGAGAGUUAAACAGUAUGUGAAAUUGUUGAAAGGGAAGCGCUUGCAAUCAGACUUGUGUGUAGCUGUUCAUCCUGGCAUUUUUGUUUGGAGUAUUCAGUUACUAACAGGCUAGCAUCAGUUUAGGUGGUAGGAAGAAGACUUUUGGAAUGUAGCUUCAUUUUGUAUAAUUUGGAGUGUUAUAGCCUGGAGUGUCAUGCUAUCUACCUGGACUGAGGAUCGCGUCUUUGACACGGAUGCUGGCGUAAUGGUUGUAAGCGUCCCGUCUUGAAACACGGACCAAGGAGUCUAACAUCUGUGCGAGUGUUUGGGUGUCAAGCCCGCACGCGUAAUGAAAGUGAAUGUAGGUGGGAGCCCUGUAUGGGGUGCACCAUCGACCGAUCCUGAUGUUCUCG